rnacentral:misc_RNA from 1 species
UUUCCGUAGGUGAACCUGCGGAAGGAUCAUUAAAGUUAUAGUCCCCUGGCCCUCUGGGCUGGGGUCUUCUAUACCACCCUUUGUUUAUUACACCUUUGUUGCUUUGGCAGGCCUGCCCUCGGGCUGCUGGCUCCGGCCGGCGAGCGCCUGCCAGAGGACCUAAACUCUGUUUUUCUAUAAUGUCUGAGUACUAUAUAAUAGUUAAAACUUUCAACAACGGAUCUCUUGGUUCUG